UUGCCUACGGGACGCAGCAGUCGGGAAUAUUGCGCAAUGGAGGAAACUCUGACGCAGUGACGCCGCGUGCAGGAAGAAGGUUUUCGGAUUGUAAACUGCUUUAGACAGGGAAGAACAAGGACAGUACCUGUAGAAUAAGCUCCGGCUAACUACGUGCCAGCAGCCGCGGUAAUACGUAGGGAGCAAGCGUUAUCCGGAUUUAUUGGCUGUAAAGGGUGCGUAGACGGGAAGACAAGUUGGUUGUGAAAUCCCUCGGCUUAACUGAGGAACUGCAACCAAAACUAGCUUUCUUGAGUGCUGGAGAG
rnacentral:rRNA from 1 species